UCGUGGGGGAUAACGUAGGGAAACUUACGCUAAUACCGCAUGCGCCCUUCGGGGGAAAGCCGGGGACCUUCGGGCCUGGCGCGAUUGGAUGAGCCCACGUCGGAUUAGCUAGUUGGCGGGGUAAAGGCCCACCAAGGCGACGAUCCGUAGCUGGUCUGAGAGGAUGAUCAGCCACACUGGAACUGAGACACGGUCCAGACUCCUACGGGAGGCAGCAGUAGGGAAUAUUGGACAAUGGGCGCAAGCCUGAUCCAGCCAUGCCGCGUGAGUGAAGAAGGCCCUCGGGUUGUAAAGCUCUUUUGUCCGGAAAGAAAAGCGCCGGGUUAAUACCCUGGUGUCCUGACGGUACCGGAAGAAUAAGCACCGGCUAACUUCGUG
rnacentral:rRNA from 1 species